rnacentral:lncRNA from 1 species
GAGGGGGUGGAUAGAAAAAAAAAAAAAAAAAAAAAAAAGAAAGGGAAAGUGCACGUGAAGCAAAAGUUGGGGCUGGGGGGGCUGCGUGGGGCCGGGCGCUGAGCGCUGCCAGCAGCUGGAGCCGGAGCCUCCCCCUACGUUGUCCCCCGUCCCCCCCCUCCUCUCCAGGCCCCCGCCCUGCGAGCCGGCAGCGCUCGGCAGCGGGACGGAGCGCGGCCCCGCACGAUGGUGGAGGAGGGCGGAGGGCAGCGGGGGCUCCGCAGGGCGGCACGGGGCCCCCCCGCAGCCCCCAACCCCGUGUCGGUGGUGAGCAAAGCGUUAUGGAGCGUGGAGCGAUCCGGGAGGGGUUGGGGCUGCGAACGCGCCGUCGGGGUGGACUGCAGCUCACCCGAACCGCGCUGCAUUUGGCUGAGCAGCGUGAGGAGGUGCGCGGCCGGAACCCCCCCCCGCCGCCCCCCCGGAGCACCGCACGGCCCCGCGGCCCCACGCACUGCCAAAGGCCAUCGGCCGACGCCGGGCCGCAGAGAUGGGGCGUCCCCGAAUGACAACGCGCCCCUGGAGGGGGCCUUCCCCUGGGGGGGCCCGAAGACGGUGGUGCUGCGGAAGAGCGCGCAGGGAGGGGGGUUCGGAUUCACCCUCCGCCACUUCAUCGUUUACCCCCCCGAGUCGGCCGUGCACUCCCCCUCCAAGGAGGAGGAGAAUGGGAACCGAGCAGGUCCCCCCCGGAGCCGCCUGGAGCCCAUGGACACCAUCUUUGUGAGAAUGUACGGGAGGACAGCCAGCACACCAGGCAGGGCUGCGCACCGG